GUCCACGCCCUAAACUAUGUCAACUAGUUGUCGGGGAAGCAAUUCCUUGGUAACGAAGCUAACGCGUGAAGUUGACCGCCUGGGGGAGUACGGUCGCAAGAUUAAAACUCAAAGGAAUUGACGGGGGCCCGCACAAGCGGUGGAUGAUGUGGAUUAAUUCGAUGCAACGCGAAAAACCUUACCUACCCUUGACAUGCCCGGGAGGCCGAUGAAAGUUGGCUGUGCUCGAAAGAGAGCCGGGACACAGGUGCUGCAUGGCUGUCGU
rnacentral:rRNA from 1 species